rnacentral:lncRNA from 1 species
AAAAUUUAUAAUUUUAAUGGCCAAUAUGAGGCGUUUUCUUAUUUAACAACGUAAAGAUAUCCAAAUCAAUUGAAUUUUGGUUAAAAAAUUAUUUAAACUAUUUAAAACAAGAUAAUAUACUCUUGAUCUUGAUUGUAAGAUUUCUUUCGUUACUUUUUAAAGGAUAUUUAUUUUCAGCAUUCAUUUUUGUGUCCAUUUGAUGGACAAGAGAACAAUAUCGAAAAAGUAUGAAAUUUGGUUUUUAGAUACUUCUUGUGGUAUAGAUUAUAUUCAACUGUGUCGGUCGUCGAUUUGGAGGCUCCAUA